rnacentral:rRNA from 1 species
AUUGAACGCUGGCGGCAUGCCUUACACAUGCAAGUCGAACGGUAACAGGUUAAGCUGACGAGUGGCGAACGGGUGAGUAAUACAUCGGAACGUGCCCAGACGUGGGGGAUAGCUCGGCGAAAGCCGGAUUAAUACCGCAUAAGCUCUGAGGAGGAAAGCGGGGGACCGUAAGGCCUCGCGCGUUUGGAGUGGCCGAUGGCAGAUUAGGUCGUUGGUGGGGUAAAGGCUUACCAAGCCUACGAUCUGUAGCUGGUCUGGGAGGACGACCAGCCACACUGGGACUGAGACACGGCCCAGACUCCUACGGGAGGCGGCAGUGGGGAAUUUUGGACAAUGGGGGCAAGCCUGAUCCAGCAAUGCCGCGUGCAGGAUGAAGGCCUUCGGGUUGUAAACUGCUUUUGUACGGAGCGAAAAGGCUCUCUCUAAUACAGGGGGCUCAUGACGGUACCGUAAGAAUAAGCACCGGCUAACUUCGUGCCAGCCGCCGCAGUAACAC